rnacentral:rRNA from 1 species
GGGGAAUAUUGCACAAUGGGGGAAACCCUGAUGCAGCGACGCCGCGUGAGUGAAGAAGUAUUUCGGUAUGUAAAGCUCUAUCAGCAGGGAAGAUAAUGACAGUACCUGACUAAGAAGCCCCGGCUAACUACGUGCCAGCAGCCGCGGUAAUACGUAGGGGGCAAGCGUUAUCCGGAUUUACUGGGUGUAAAGGGAGCGUAGACGGAAUGGCAAGUCUGAAGUGAAAUACCCGGGCUCAACCUGGGAACUGCUUUGGAAACUGUUGUUCUAGAGUGUUGGAGAGGUAAGUGGAAUUCCUGGUGUAGCGGUGAAAUGCGUAGAUAUCAGGAAGAACACCGGAGGCGAAGGCGGCUUACUGGACAAUAACUGACGUUGAGGCUCGAAAGCGUGGGGAUCAAACAGGAUUAGAUACCCUGGUAGUCCACGCUGUAAACGAUGAAUACUAGGUGUCGGGGUGCAAAGCAUCUCGGUGCCGUCGCUAACGCAAUAAGUAUUCCACCUGGGGAGUACGUUCGCAAGAAUG